UACAGAGGGGGCAAGCGUUAUUCGGAAUUAUUGGGCGUAAAGGGCGCGUAGGCGGCUUGGCAAGUGGAUGGUGAAAUCCCUCGGCUUAACCGAGGAACUGCCGUCCAAACUGCUUUGCUUGAGGCCGGGAGAGGCGAGUGGAAUUCCCAGUGUAGCGGUGAAAUGCGUAGAUAUUGGGAGGAACACCAGUGGCGAAGGCGGCUCGCUGGACCGGUUCUGACGCUGAGGAGCGAAAGCGUGGGGAGCGAACAGG
rnacentral:rRNA from 1 species